AGAGCCGCGCACCAAGCCGAUGGCGGUGGACGCAGCAGGGCCCCGCGGUCUGAGUGCGGGCAGGCGCGCGUGGGCGUGUCUCCCUGGCCCACGCGUGUCCCCGGCAUCAGUGUCUCGGCUCUGGUCCAGGACGAAGACUUCUGAAAGCGAGCCAAGGAGAAUCACAGUUCUUAACGGAGCCCCUGACUGCCCGGUGGAAGGAGGUGAUUUAGAAGACAGUGAGUUGAUCUGGGGCAAAGUGAAGCAUCAGUAGCGCCUUCCAUCCCUUCACCUCACCUGGAUCUCUUCACUUCACUCCACGUCUGUCGUCUCCCAUGCAUGAAGCAACAUGGCCAAGUGAAGCUGCAACCAGUAAAGUCCUCCCAAUAGAACAUUUCUUCCUGAGCCAACCUAUCAGUGCAGCUCUGGAAGCAAAUGACCUCUCCUGGCAGAGCCUUCACUGUGUGGGGAACAUCAGAUUUGUGUAAAGAAGCACAGGAUGUUUCUUGGCUUCAAACCAUUUGGAUAAGUGAUGGCAGCAAGCUUCGCCACUGUAAAGUCACCUCUUUGUAAGAAGACAGGAGCUCUUUGUAAAGAAUAUGAGACCUGAGGCUGGGGGAUGGCUGAGAAGGGAAAAGCACCUCUGCACAAGCGUGAGAAAAGGAGUUUGUUCUUCCACAUCCAUGUAGAAAUCUUGAUGCCGUGCCGUGAACCCCAGCUCUCCUACGGGAAGAUGGGAGGCGUAGACAGGAGUUCAUCUGGAAGCUUGAGGCCAGCCACCCAGAUCCUCAGAGCUGCAGACAAAAGAGAGGCCCUGCAGCAAAAGAGUGGAAGGUGAGAACCAACUCCGGAAAGUUGCCCUCUGACCUUUACAAGUGUAUACAUCCACACACAUACAAUAAAAUCAAUUGCUCAAUCACGUA
rnacentral:lncRNA from 1 species